UCCGGAGUUUCUCCGGCAGUCCCCCAUGAGUGCUCGGCACUACCCGGGGGCCCGCACAAGCAGCGGAGCAUGUGGCUUAAUUCGACGCAACGCGAAGAACCUUACCAAGGCUUGACAUACGCCGGAAACGUCUGGAGACAGGCGCCCCCUUGUGGUCGGUAUACAGGUGGUGCAUGGCUGUCGUCAGCUCGUGUCGUGAGAUGUUGGGUUAAGUCCCGCAACGAGCGCAACCCUUGUCCUGUGUUGCCAGCGCGUAAUGGCGGGGACUCGCAGGAGACUGCCGGGGUCAACUCGGAGGAAGGUGGGGAUGACGUUACGGUC
rnacentral:misc_RNA from 1 species